GAUGAACGCUGGCGGCGUGCCUAAUACAUGCCAGUCGAGCGAACGGACGAGAAGCUUGCUUCUCUGAUGUUAGCGGCGGACGGGUGAGUAACACGUGGAUAACCUACCUAUAAGACUGGGAUAACUUCGGGAAACCGGAGCUAAUACCGGAUGAUAUUUUGAACCGCAUGGUUCAAAAGUGAAAGACGGUCUUGCUGUCACUUAUAGAUGGAUCCGCGCUGCAUUAGCUAGUUGGUAAGGUAACGGCUUACCAAGGCAACGAUGCAUAGCCGACCUGAGAGGGUGAUCGGCCACACUGGAACUGAGACACGGUCCAGACUCCUACGGGAGGCAGCAGUAGGGAAUCUUCCGCAAUGGGCAAAAGCCUGACGGAGCAACGCCGCGUGAGUGAUGAAGGUCUUCGGAUCGUAAAACUCUGUUAUUAGGGAAGAACAUAUGUGUAAGUAACUGUGCACAUCUUGACGGUACCUAAUCAGAAAGCCACGGCUAACUACGUG
rnacentral:rRNA from 1 species